rnacentral:rRNA from 1 species
AUUGAACGCUGGCGGCAUGCUUUACACAUGCAAGUCGAACGGUAACAGGGAGCUUGCUCCGCUGACGAGUGGCGAACGGGUGAGUAAUGCAUCGGAACGUACCCAGUCGUGGGGGAUAACGUAGCGAAAGUUACGCUAAUACCGCAUACGUCCUGAGGGAGAAAGCGGGGGACCGUAAGGCCUCGCGCGAUUGGAGCGGCCGAUGUCGGAUUAGCUAGUUGGUGGGGUAAAGGCCUACCAAGGCGACGAUCCGUAGCGGGUCUGAGAGGAUGAUCCGCCACACUGGGACUGAGACACGGCCCAGACUCCUACGGGAGGCAGCAGUGGGGAAUUUUGGACAAUGGGGGCAACCCUGAUCCAGCCAUGCCGCGUGAGUGAAGAAGGGCCUUCGGGUUGUAAAGCUCUUUCUAGACGGAAAGAAAACGACAAUCGGUGGAAUACCCGAUGUGGAUGACGGUACCGUAACGAAGAAAGCACCGGCUAACUACGUGCCAGCAGCCGCGGUAAACCGUAAGCGU